rnacentral:misc_RNA from 1 species
GUGAAUCAUCGAAUCUUUGAACGCAAAUUGCACUCACUUCGGAGAGUAUGCCUGUUUGAGGGUCAGCCUAAAAAAAUCGACAUAAUCCCUGUUCCGCGGUUAAAUUCGUCGGAAAUUGGGUCAUCUUAAACCUUUGGGUUUUUUAAGCGGCUUAAAAUUUUUUUUACGAUUCCACGAACGUUUCUAAAGAUUUACUUCUUACCAACGUUUUAGGUUACG